UUUGGAAACUUUGGCUGCACGACAGCACGAGUACCUCUCUCUUUCUCAUUUAUGAAUGAAUCAAAACCUUCUUUAUCUUUGUGACAAAAGCUAAAGCUUUCUUCUUUUCUUUAUUCUUUUGCUUGUCAGUAAAGCUCUAGUGAGAGCACCAAGAAGCAGAUCUUGGAUUUGUAUCUCUUGUUUGCGCAUAAAAUCAUCAUGUGACAGUUAGAGAUUGUGGAAGCCAUGACGGUGCAGGAAACUCAGCCAAGGCAGGAUACUGAGGAAUCUCUACUUGCAAAAGGAGGUGCUAAGACAAGAAUCUGGACAGGAGAAGCAAAGCCAAAAGAUGAGUACUUUUCUUCAUGGGAUUAAGAGCGGCUCACUGCCUAUGCUUGCAAACAAGCUCUAAUAAGCCUCAACAUCAGAGGUUGUUGUUUUGAGAAGAUUCCAAGAGAAAGCACAGUGUUUAACAAUACCGGUUUAAACACACAGGAGUAACAUUUGAAUACUAGCUUUGAACUCAUGAAGCUAGAGUGUAAUCAGAUUGUGCGACUGGUUUUUGUUGCUGUGUCUAAGAUUGUGAUUAAGAAAUGUGCUUCAAAGAUAUCUAGCAGAAACUAAGCUCGAUCGAUGGGGUUUGUUUUCUGAAGUACAAUCAGUGUUGGGACUUUGGCAAAAGGUCAUUUUAUUUGAGCUUGGGUUAAUUCA